UACGGAGGGUGCAAGCGUUAUCCGGAUUCACUGGGUUUAAAGGGUGCGUAGGUGGGCAAGUAAGUCAGUGGUGAAAUCUCCGGGCUUAACCCGGAAACUGCCAUUGAUACUAUUUGUCUUGAAUACUGUGGAGGUCAGCGGAAUAUGUCAUGUAGCGGUGAAAUGCUUAGAUAUGACAUAGAACACCAAUUGCGAAGGCAGCUGGCUACACAAAUAUUGACACUGAGGCACGAAAAGUGUGGGGAGUCAAA
rnacentral:rRNA from 1 species